UACAGAAAACUUGGAGAUGUGCACUUGGA
rnacentral:piRNA from 1 species